AAUCAACGCUGGCGGCGCGCUUAACACAUGCAAGUCGCACGAGAAAGUGGAGCAAUCCAUGAGUAAAGUGGCGUACGGGUGAGUAACACGUGGAUAAUCUACCUUUUAGUGGGGAAUACCCCUGGGAAACCGGGGACAAUACCGCAUAAGCUCGUAAGAGGAAAGCAGCAAUGCGCUGAAAGAGGAGUCCGCGGCUGAUUAGCUAGUUGGCGGGGUAAUGGCCCACCAAGGCGAAGAUCGGUAGCCGGCCUGAGAGGGCACACGGCCACACUGGCACUGAAACACGGGCCAGACUCCUACGGGAGGCAGCAGUGGGGAAUCUUGCACAAUGGAGGAAACUCUGAUGCAGCGACGCCGCGUGAGCGAUGAAGCCCUUCGGGGUGUAAAGCUCUUUCGACGGGAACGAUAAUGACGGUACCCGAAGAAGAAGCUGCGGCUAACUACGUGCCAGCAGCCGCGGCAAUACGUAGGCAGCGAGCGUUGUUCGGAAUUACUGGGCGUAAAGAGUGUGUAGGCGGUGCUCUAAGUCUGUUGUAAAUCUCCCGGCUUAACUGGGAGGGUGCGGCGGAAACUGGAG
rnacentral:rRNA from 1 species